GAAAGGUCGAUGACCUACCUACAAUUACCUCAAAGUGUAGGGGUGUUUGGCCAAGGUAGCAGUCCCUAGUCCCAAAACGACUAAGAUGGGACCAAAAACCAUUGAUUAUGUGUUCAUUGGUUAUGCCGGCAGAAGGAAGAAGGAAGGCCUUGAUUAUGUUGGUUAUCCCUUGAACAAAACGUUUGACAUGAAAAGUUUGGUUAUCCCUUGAACAAAAAGUUUGACAUGAAAGAUUUGGGAGUAGCAAAUGUAAUUCUAGGAAUAAAAAUUACUAGAACAUCUGAAGGAUAUGCUUUAUUUCAGUCUCACUAUGUUGAGAAGAUUUUGGAGAAAUUUGGAAAGCAUGAUGACCAUCCUGCUAAAACACUUGUUGUCAUUAGUCUUCAUUUGUCAAAAAAUACAGGUGCAGGCAUAUCACAAUUAGAGUACUCUCGGAUAAUCGAAAGCUUAAUAUACUUAAUGAAUUGCACUAGGUCAGAUAUAGCCUAUGCUGUAAGCAAAUUGGGUAGGUACAGAAGUAAUCCAGGGUCUGAUCAUUAGAAAACAAUAAUUAGGGUACUUAGGUAUCUAAGACAUACCCAGAAUUAUGGUUUACAUUAUACCAAAUAUCCGGCAUUACUCAAAGGGUACAGCGAUGCAAAUUGGAUAUCGAAUACUAAAGACUCAAAAUUCACUAGUGGAUACGUCUUUAUCCUAAGAAGUGCUACAGUCUCUUGGAAAUCCUCUAAACAGACAUGCAUAGCAAGGUCGACAAUGGAAUCUGAGUUUAUCGCAUUAGAUAAAAUAAGAGAAGAAGCAGAAUGGCUUCAUAAUUUCUUAGAAGACAUUCUAAUGUGGCCUAAACCUAUGCCAACUAUAUGCAUUCACUGUGAUAAUGAAACAGUAAUAGGACGAGCACAUAAUCAUAUGUAUAACGGUAAGUCUUGACACAUUCAUUGAAGACAUAAUACCGUUAGGCAUUUUCUCUCACAUGGAAUAAUAUCCAUAAAAUAUGUAAAGUUAAGGGAGAAUAUUGCAGACUCAUUGACUAAAGGGCUAGCUAGAGAGCAAGUGUACUAUUUAUCAAUAGGAAUGGGAUUAAAGCCUAAUACUUAAAAGUCGCCAUAAUGGCAAUCCAACCUAGUUAACUGGAGAUCCCAAGAUCUAAGUUCAAAGGGACAACCGAAUUAUGGAUGAUUUCACGUAUCACUAAGAAGGUUUACUCCUACCCAUUUCUAUGAUAAGAAGAGUGAUACCUGUAGCGUUAGUAGGAUAAACUUUGUUUUUAAUGAUUUUUAUAGCUUGGACAUCCAAGUGGGAUAUAACAGGAUACUCUUAAAUAAGAAAUAACCUAUAUGAGUGUGAACUGGGCUGAUUCUGUGAGAAUUGAGAAGGCUAAAUUCUCUAGAGCACUCAUGAAUUACCAGGUGUUGUUCAGGGCCAAAAUGAACACAACCGUAAGAACCAAACUAUGUUUGCGGAUACACUAUGUGUAGUCUAUUGUCUUGGCUUACACAAACAGCUGAAUAGUUCAAGGUAUCGCGUCUAUUGGUUAGCCAGUAAGUCCGAUAGGCUUUCACUAAAGGAGGUUCAAAGCCAAAAGUUACCUAUCUCGAUGUGAUGUAUCUUCUUAAUGAACUCUUUCUUUGUUUGCAUCUUGUUGCAUGUCUGUUAUCAUGAAUUCCAUUCAUGUGGGGGAUUGUUAGAAAAUAACUUUGGAAAAUCCUUAUUUUUGUCUAACUUUGAGUAUUAAUUAAGAUGGGACUCAAGCGUUAUUUUUAACGUUUUUUAUUGGGUUCAUGUUUAAUGCCGUAUAGUGAAUAAAACCAUGUAUUUAGUUGCUCAAAACCAAUUCCGGAUGAAUGAGAAUUCAAUGUGCGUUUUCAAGUUCGUGGAAAUGGCUUUAGGUGGGUUUCCUACACAUUUGUGAAAUGUACUUAUCCCACAUUGGAAAGACUUAAGGUUUUGAAUGAGUUUAUAUACUGCAGCUUGGGAUACUUGGGAUAGGCCCCAAGGGGUACCCAAGUUUGUGGAAGGGUGAGGUUAUGGGUAAAGUGAGCUAAACCCAUUGGACCCAAAACAAAAACCACACGCGCGCGCUGUCGCCGCCGUCCGUCCGUCCGUCCGGUUGAUCAGGUGGGUUGGACCUGGCCUAGACCUAGGCCUGGGCGCUGGUGUGAGGUUGGGUUGGGCUUAUCCGAUCCAAUACUUAUCUUUUUUGGGCCAAAAUCAUUUGCAUUUUAUUUAUUUAAUUUUGAAUUUCGGUUUUCAAAAUUCAAAUCAAAUCUAUCCAAAUUUUUUCUCACACCCAAAAAGGUCAUAUCUGUUGAAUUCACCCGAAUAGGUUUUUCUACAUGUUGACUCCACCCGAACAGAUUCAAAUCUGUCCAAGUACCUAUUCAGUCUGUCCGAACAGGUAGAAAAUAACCACAUUUUCUCCUAUAAAAUGCCAGCCUUCUAGCAAUUCAGGAGAUUAAUUUUUCCCUCAAAAUUUCGUAUUUCUUCUUCUGUUCUUCUUUGUGUUUCUGCAUUUAAUUUUUAGGAAGAAAGAAAAAGAGUCACAACAGAGUUUUGGUUCGCCAGACUUGAUUUUGUAAUGCUGCAAAUCAAGUGUUAGUUGUUGUAUCCUGGGAAAUAGAUGCCGGUAAAUCUUGAAGCACCGGAGCGAGGGCGAAAUCUACUUUAAGGAGAUUGUGUCCAACACAAGCCUCGACUUUAAUUUCUGUGAGCAAGCGCGUGACCAAGCCUAAGCUGCUGCUUGGAGUGUUGAGUCAGCCAACCACUGUGCCUCCCGAGGAGGUUCCCUUUUUGAAGAAGUCAAGUUUCGUGACCCUGACAAAGGUGUUUUGUUGUUUGUUUUUUCUUAUCUAUAUAUGGGGAUAAAUUCUUUUUUUUUAAGUACAUCUGUGCAUAUGGGUGACGUAAGGCUAACGUAUUUUUGACGUCACAUAUAUAUAUAUAUAUAUAUAUAAGUUCGUUUAGAAAA